CUGCAUGUGGAAACGUCUGCCCUCAUUCCUUUAAGGGUAGGAAUGCAUCCAUAACAUGCUACAUUUAAAAAGGAGUCUCAGGACUGCCAACCUUACAGUAAAGGUUGAGUAGUAGUGUAUUUCUCCUACAUAA
rnacentral:snoRNA from 1 species